GACGAACGCUGGCGGCGUGCUUAACACAUGCAAGUCGAACGGAAAGGCCCUGCUUUUGUGGGGUGCUCGAGUGGCGAACGGGUGAGUAACACGUGAGUAACCUGCCCUUGACUUUGGGAUAACUUCAGGAAACUGGGGCUAAUACCGGAUAGGAGCUCCUGCUGCAUGGUGGGGGUUGGAAAGUUUCGGCGGUUGGGGAUGGACUCGCGGCUUAUCAGCUUGUUGGUGGGGUAGUGGCUUACCAAGGCUUUGACGGGUAGCCGGCCUGAGAGGGUGACCGGCCACAUUGGGACUGGGAUACGGGCCAGACUCCUACGGGAGGCAGCAGGGGGGAAUAUUGCAAAAUGGGCGGAAGCCUGAUGCAGCAACGCCGCGGGCGGGAUGACGGCCUUCGGGUUGUAAACCGCUUUCGCCUGUGACGAAGCGUGAGUGACGGUAAUGGGUAAAGAAGCACCGGCUAACUACGUG
rnacentral:rRNA from 1 species